rnacentral:rRNA from 1 species
CCUACGGGGGGCAGCAGUAGGGAAUCUUCCACAAUGGACGAAAGUCUGAUGGAGCAACUCCCCGCGUGUGUAGAAGGGUUUCGGCUCGUAAAGCUCUGUUGGUAGUGAAGAAAGAUAGAGGUAGUAACUGGCCUUUAUUUGACGGUAAUUACUUAGAAAGUCACGGCUAACUACGUGCCAGCAGCCGCGGUAAUACGUAGGUGGUAAGCGUUGGUCGGAUUUAUUGGGCGUAAAGCGAGUGCAGGGGGGUCCAUAA